rnacentral:rRNA from 1 species
GAAUAUAGGGGAGUCAGGACGCCGAGUGUAAGUGGAGAGAGAGUUGCGGCCAGCGGCGGAUCUACACAGUGGACUGAACGGUGGCAGGAGGUGAGAGCAGAGUCUAAACUGGGGUUUCAGUUCGACGUCCGUCGUUGUCAUCCAAGAGUACAGCGGUACUCGACCUACCCCUUCGCCCCCAACCCACCCCUCUCGGGCGUGACCGCCUCUUCUGAUUGCUCCCGACCGCCGGGGCCUCGAUGGAGGUGAUGGAGCGGCGGCGCAGGUCAGGCUGGGACGGAGGACGUUCGUGCCGCUGAAGGAGCUGUGGCAGACCCGCCCGGUGCUCGAUUGGUGCGGGUUAGAGAAGUCCAGUCAUGUCAUGUCAUCCGUUAAACCCUGAAAAAAAUUUUGACUUUAACUCCUUUAAAACUGUGUUAACUCACACCUCUGACUCAACAAACCAAUUAAUCAAUUAGUCGUGCAUGUGGUCUCUGUUAAACAACGUUGUAACUGUGCUAAUACACUACAUCUCUAUUACUCUAUACGAGUACAAAAUGACGAUGAGCUUGGGACUAUACAUGGCACCAAAAGCACCCUAUUAUAUUAACUCAGGCAAAUUAGGCAACUCCUCCGGAGCACCAAUAGAUAAAAAAGUACAAAGAGUACAUCACCAACCACGGGUGGAGCGUCAGCACCUGAGGACAAUGACUUAAUAAACCGCUAGACCUCGACUAAAGAACCGCGCCGAUCGUUUUUUAAGAGGGUGCGGCCACGUGGUGCGUGGUUUAGUCCAGGACUUGAUUGGCGGUAUCAGAGGACCAGGAGAAACUUUUGUUUGUGUAGGAGCAAUAGGUUUGGUUAGAUCGAGCUCCUCACGGGCCGCAGGGAGACGAACGUGAGGCUGCCCACCAGUCCCCAAGGAGACGAAGGAAACACUACCGGCUAGUUAGCCGUGUGCUACUAGUGUCACCCCGCGGUGCCAUAGUAAGAGAAGAGGGAGGAGUAAGGGGAGAGAGGACCAGAGAUAGUGUGGGGGAAUUCAUGAAAAGAAGGAAGGACUGAACGCACUAACACAACUAACAGGUAGUAAAGAUGUAACGUUAAAAGAAAAACGUGCUACGUAGUCAUAACCAAACAACCGCCAAGUAUUAAAAUCCAACCGUUCAAAAGAACAACAUGCUCAACUAGAACAAAAGAAAGAAAAGAAAGAUAUGAUACAAUCGGCACUUGACUAAAACAUUCUUUAUCUCUCUUAUAAACAUCUUGGAAUUUAGAUCCUAAAUAGAACAUAAGAGUGUUUUUCCAAUACAAAAUACACAAAUGAUGUCAUCGUUGAAAUUCCAACAAAGUGGGCAAAAACCAUGUUGAGCGGACCACUACAUCAUGUAUUAAAUAAAAAGUCCAUUAAUUUGAUACUUAGAUAGUAUACUGAGGUGAAAGAAAGACUAAGUGUAGUAUUAAUCUAUCAUGCGACGUACUUUUUCAUUGAGUAGAGGUUGAUCAUACACGAAGACUACCGGUAAUUAUUGGACUUGUCAAGGGAGUCAAAGACCAAGUCAUUCAACUUUAUCCAUGAUUAUUUGAACGUGUAAUCAAUCGAAUAAACCUAUCUCGAGGAUUACUGGUAGAACAAUCAAUACCGGUUACAUCCGGUUUAUAUAUUAACAAACUAACUACAAGAGCAACAAUGAUAUAUUAAAAAACAUCGUUACAUCUACAGCUGGCAUCAACCUACAUGUUUCUCUCUGCUCCCUUCAACUAGUCACUACGAACCGUUGUACCUCAUCUAUUAAAAGAUCUAGUACGUAAGAGUAACGAGCUACGACGGCAUCUGCCCCUUAGGGUAACAGGAACAUCGUUGACGAAAACGGCAGUAUUCGCGUGUUCUCUACAGUACUGAUCUGUGAAUACAUCGUUACCUAAGUACAAUCCUAUACUCUCUACCUGAUCGGUACCCCUCAGAAUACAUGGACUUUUACAUCUCGUACUAUUGCACCCCCACCUCUAUCUUACUUACUGUACGAUCAACUACGUUAACAACGGCUUCCUCAAAGACUUCCACUACUCGGUUGUUUUCGACGGUUUUUUAAGAUACUUUACAACUACCUUCGGCUAUUUGGUAACGUACUCUUCUUGUGUGUUAGUGCAGAUAGGUAACAUCCUUCCGAUUACUGAUAAUUUUGUGUUGUAUUGGACAGUCUUCGAACAAUGUUACUCUACUACUGAGAAUAUGUACUGUAACAACCCCUGCUACGACGUUUUCUAGAGGGUCGUUUGAAGGUAUCCAGGUUCUUCGAACACGUAUCAGAUCGUUACGGAAUGCAGUUUUAAGUACGUACGGGGUUAUUAACAUGCUAAAUGAUAUUUCUCUUACUUUUAUUUCUUUUACGUGAUAAACGUUUCUUGGUUCUAUACUCCUUUGUUGGCGUCCUUUAUUUAGAUGCUUCUAUGGUUCUUUUCAAGACGCGAUAGAGGGUCAAUGAGGAUCCGAUGUUGUCAACAUGUACAGUGUUUCGUGACGGUUCGUGUACCUUAUAGUGCGUUCCGGAGCACUGUAACUACUUUAUUACCAAGUGGGAAGAGUACCACUUCGAACCUUCCUUAAAUUAUUCCUUAAAUUUUUUUAACGACUCCUUCAUUCCUUAUAUUCCGAUACAGAUCGCUGACUGCCGAAGUGUGGAAAACCAUAAUUUCAUCGGAGGAUGAGCACAACCGGUCAUAAACAACAUGGAAUAUUAGAAGGUGGUCUUUACACGUACUUCGUCUCAUUGGACUAGGAACGUGAUCAAUAAGAACCAGGUCUAGUAGGUCCUUUCUUGGAUUUGUAAAAAUACUUCGGAGAUCAACUGCUUGAACUACUAAACACCUCUUUACCACAUCUUUGAAUACUAUCAAUAGCUUUCGUUUUAAAGUUGAAUUUCCGUCGAAACGAAACCUGAUAAGUACUGAAAGGUCGAAUACCUAAUCAUCGUACGACCUCGUGGGUACCUUUCGAACGAACGGGAUAUACACCUAGACUGUAUUUCUGUAAGAGUAACUUCUUACCGUCUUUCAGCACGACCAAACUGACGGUGUCCUCUAAGGAAGGGUGAUUGGUACGUAAGACAUCCUCACACUUUACAAAAGCGUUCUUUUUUUGUCAAGAUUUAGGAGGUGGUUUCGGGAACAGGCCUCUUCUCCACAUACUUGUUGAGUUUUCAGAACAAGUACUACUUUGACCGAUCUCAUUUAAACUCCCCAAACCCUUCCUCGUGUUAACCUAGCGAUAUUCACCAAACACCGUUGACCUCAUAAAAGUCUUUAACGACGAAGCGGUAUUGUAACUACAUUACGUAUUACUCUUUUUACAAAGACUCCGAUAAGACUUGUGUACGGAACUAUAAGGACUCUUUUGACUCCUAUUGUUGUUUCGUGCGGAACUACAACGAAAUAUAACACUAGCUGGUUUCGAUAUGGACUUGUUCUUAAGUUUCCCACACACCUUCUUUGGAUCUCGCUUUAUAACACAGUCGUUCCUGCUAUUUUACUGGUAGGAAUUCACCAAAUUUCUUCACUUCAAAAGACUACCCAAACGACGAUUAAACUCAUUUUGACACUUGAACGUUGUUUUUUUUAAAUAACCCGACUUUUCGGUACUGAUGGUGUAGUAGUACCUCGCGGAGGACGGUCAACGGGAUGCUCCGAAGUAGGGUCUUGGACUUACCUUCCAGUAUCGUCUCGAUUCAAAAAAAAUAGCCGUUAACACACGGUUUCUUUAACGAGGAUUUACCUACGCACUUGAACUCCUCCUCCAAGGACAAGAUAAUACGUUCGAACUCUUUUACAAGGGUGGUCCGAAGAAGUUACAUUACGUUGUGGACUAUCACGUAGAGGGUAUACUCCGUUCCCAACCGCCCGGACACCGUAUAGCAACCUACAUACAAAAACUCUCCAUACGAUCUGAUAUAUGGAAAUUAGACAUGUAGCACAAAAUUAGAUAAAUACAGAACAUAGUGACUUUGAAUAUUAUUAAACAAUACCCCGUUACGUGAUAGAAGCAAAUUUUCACGCUUUGUUCCGUUCUCACCUCCCAAGUUAACAACUUCGAACAUAACAUGUCCUCUAGUGUUUAACAAAAAGAGACAUGAAGUCACUAGUACAAGCGUGGUAUACCUUCUUCUUAGGAGCUAUAUUAUUAUCUCCUUGUGCGCACGUCUUACUACCCACAUGGAAUCUACAUAAAGUUGUACUUCCUUUGGAUGUACCUUCCCGUUAACGGGCUCUUGAUAGCGCACUUCUCAACUUACGUCGUUCCAACAUGUAAAACUAGUUGACGAAACGAUAACUGUCUAAAGCUCUUCUUAAACUCCUACUUUUCAUACGCUACGUAGGGUUAAACUGUAACCUCCCGGAACUAGUUUACUACCGUAGUCUUAAACACCUUACCAAGCUCUAACGAACGUUUGCUCUAGUAUUAAGACUACUCCUGAACACCUUAAAUCGAUUACCUACGUCGAGAUCUCGGAUAAGGAUAUCGAGGAUACUGCACUUACCGAAAGCGAAAUCUAGUCUCCGUAGACUCUUUUUUGCAUCUUCCAACUUUUGUCCUUGUGUCCUCAAACAAACAGAAGGAAGUAGAGUCUCUGAAUUGUAGAACUCAUAAUACCACAGUAGCUCCUUUAUUAGUUUAAUAGGAAGUAUCGACCAUCUUUUUAACUCUACCAUGAGAAGUUUACAGCAACCAAACUAGGAUAGUUUCCACACUUCGGUUUACGUUUUAAUCCAAACCACCUCUAGGUCACCAGAAGUUCCGAAGCAUUAAAACUUGGUAAACGGUACCGAGUGGUUCGAUGUGUUAGAAUAAUGAACUUCAUACGUAGGAGCUCCUCUCUAGAAGCACUAACCUCCCAACACAUGUGCUAAGUCGGUUCGUCGUCGAACUCAUUGGAACUACUGACGCGUUUACUGGGUAGAUGAUGUCUACUUAUAAAGGUUCUUCAAUCAGUCGACCCAUCAAAAAGACAUCUACAACCGUUUAAUAAACUACUCAAACGAUUCGGUUCUUUCCUCAGUCUACUACACUACGAACUAGGGAGACUUUAACUUUCUUAUCUUUUAGUUCUGAAAUUACUACUCCCUCUUCUUAGAAGUCUUCUACUAAACCUUCUCUCAUGGCUACUCCUUCUUCUAAAUGGUGUUCUCCUUCCUCUUCUUCUCUGUAUACUCUGGCUUCUACUCCUACUACGUUAUCUCGUACUGAGCCUUAUACUGUUACUCCUAAUGAUUUGUAAAUAUCGAAAACGUGAAAAGUAAAACAAAGAACCAUGGUUAUUUAUAAUAUAUCACUGUGUUGAUCACUUAUUAUAUCAUACAAAUGAUAACCAUCAUUAUGUAUAACAUAUCACUAAAUCACUGUGAUGAUAACUUGUUUAUAUGGUACCAACUAUCAUAAAGGUUAAAUAGACAAUGUAUUGUAAAGUACAGGAAAGAAAGAAGAUGAACGUACGGAAAACAAUAGUAAAUGAGCAAUAAAAAUACAUUGAUUAUUCGUACGUAAAAGGUGAUACAUUUGUCCUACCCGGCGAACUUAGUAUCCACAAAGAGUCACGGAUCUGACCUAUCCAGAAGAAGAUCACGGAGGUAUCCUUUCUUACCUAGUUGAGUCAGUUGACGUGUCCGAUUUUUUCGAUCUUGUGGUUCUUGAUCCUGAAGUCGGCCAGAGUCUGAUCUCCUUUAACUGGCUGGCGAAUAUCAAGGGUUUCCGCACAAUACCCUUUCCGUGGGUAUGUGGCGAGCACUAGGUAGUUGCCACGUUCCACGGAAUCACGCCGUCUACAUAGGUGGCGGUUAACCAGGUUUUUUACUGGUCUUUGGUCAUAACACAACCCUCCUGAUGUUCACCAGGGGACCGGGUCUUCAUUCUGGUCGUCGAAGGUUUUAACACCUUCUUAAAACCACCGCAAAGUUCACACUGGGUAACCUCGUUCUCUUCCGUCUACCACAAAACCUCCUCUUGAAAUGAUCCUUUCACUUCGUCUACGAUGUACUCCUUUUCCGCCGUCGGUAGUUUUCUAAUUACUUCUUCCCUGUUAACGGAUGUGUUGAUUGUCUUCACUUACUCUUACCAUUGGCAACCGGUUGAUUCCUUCGAAAUUAAAGACGUUUCUUUCAACUGAAACCAUGGCUACAACCAACCGCAGAUGAUACACUCGUAACCUCACCACGACUUAAAUCUCCCGAUAGGAAUUCUUUGUUCUCCUUGUAUGAACGAUUACCCCUAUGUCAGAAGGUAACGUCGCCACGCUCUUUACGACAGCGGUGUGCAGUUAAGGACUGUGAGUUUUGUCCCUUUCUGGGACCUUAAAGGCCACGAACCGAAGUGUGCGUGUUAAACGUAGCUCCCUGGCUGUUUCUCUUCUAAACGUCAGUUUCUUGACGGCUAGCAACCCUCCUAAAACUAUUCCGUUACUUUUUACGAGUACCUCUUUUAACCCUUCUCCUCGUGGGUCUAAAUCUACCUGUUUAGCAGAUACUUCGUCGUCCAUCUUACGGUGUACCGUCCGACCCUUAACGAUUACUCAAUAAAUCGUUUCGUCUCUUCCGCUUCAAAUUCAGAUUUUCCCACUACCGGAGUGUUGGCCACGCCAGACGAUCCCUCCUGGCAGAUCUUUCUCUCUUGUUUGUAAACUUCGUCCUCUUGUUCGCAGAAGCUCCGUAACUCGAACAACACGUCAGUAACCGACUCUUUCCCCCUCACCUGAAACUACCGUAUUACGUUAGUCGAUGCCGACUGAACAGAUGUAGUCUAAGCCUUCCGUCUUAAGCAUCCCCUGCUCCACUACACGUAGUUUCGCUUGGACUUUUCCAGGACGAGGCCUUUCACAAGCUCUCAUGGAUAGUCACCUCGUCACGGGGGGGACAACUAGAUGGUCCCUUACCCUUCGUCCUGACCUCCGUCACGGUCAGUACCUCUACUACUACUCCUACUGAUGAUACCAUCGCUCCCUCUACUACUGAUACCGUUCCUACCAGAUAUACCACUACUCGGUAUGAUACCACCACUCCCUAUAUUACUGAUACUUCUACUCCUUAUAUUACUCAUACCGUUACUAUUACUACUAACCGGUAUUUUCAGAUCACUAGAAGUUCAGUACGGUUUUAGUUCAAUACAAUCUACAAACUUUAUGAAAUAGAAUACCUGGUUAAACAGUAUCACCUGUUAAAUGGAAGCGUUUUAUACUGGAUAGAGUC